rnacentral:rRNA from 1 species
AUUGAACGCUGGCGGCAGGCCUAACCCAUGCAAGUCGAGCGGACGAAGGGAGCUUGCUCCUGGAUUCAGCGGCGGACGGGUGAGUAAUGCCUAGGAAUCUGCCUGGUAGUUGGGGAUAACGUCCGGAAACGGGCGCUAAUACCGCAUACGUCCUGAGGGAGAAAGUGGGGGAUCUUCGGACCUCACGCUAUCAGAUGAGCCUAGGUCGGAUUAGCUAGUUGGUGGGGUAAAGGCCUACCAAGGCGACGAUCCGUAACUGGUCUGAGAGGAUGAUCAGUCACACUGGAACUGAGACACGGUCCAGACUCCUACGGGAGGCAGCAGUGGGGAAUAUUGGACAAUGGGCGAAAGCCUGAUCCAGCCAUGCCGCGUGUGUGAAGAAGGUCUUCGGAUUGUAAAGCACUUUAAGUUGGGAGGAAGGGCAGUAAGUUAAUACCUUGCUGUUUUGACGUUACCAACAGAAUAAGCACCGGCUAACUUCGUG